rnacentral:rRNA from 1 species
GGCGGUGAAUAUGAAUGCUUCGAGUUUUUCAUUACAAACUACUUGUAUGUCUUGUGGAAUGUCAUAUGCUCCCUUGUGGGCGAAAUUGUAAUACAACUUUCAGCAACGGAUCUCUUGGCUCCCGCAUCGAUGAAGAACGCAGCGAAAUGCGAUAAGUAA